AGCGAACGCUGGCGGCAGGCCUAACACAUGCAAGUCGAACGAACUCUUCGGAGUUAGUGGCGGACGGGUGAGUAACACGUGGGAACGUGCCUUUUGGUUCGGAAUAACUCAGGGAAACUUGUGCUAAUACCGAAUGUGCCCUUCGGGGGAAAGAUUUAUCGCCAUUAGAGCGGCCCGCGUCUGAUUAGCUAGUUGGUGAGGUAACGGCUCACCAAGGCGACGAUCAGUAGCUGGUCUGAGAGGAUGACCAGCCACACUGGGACUGAGACACGGCCCAGACUCCUACGGGAGGCAGCAGUGGGGAAUCUUGCGCAAUGGGCGAAAGCCUGACGCAGCCAUGCCGCGUGAAUGAUGAAGGUCUUAGGAUUGUAAAAUUCUUUCACCGGGUACGAUAAUGACGGUACCCGGAGAAGAAGCCCCGGCUAACUUCGUG
rnacentral:rRNA from 1 species